UGAGGAAUAUUGGUCAAUGGGCGUAAGCCUGAACCAGCCAAGUCGCGUGAGGGAUGAAGGUUCUAUGGAUCGUAAACCUCUUUUAUAAGGGAAUAAAGUGCGGGACGUGUCCCGUUUUGUAUGUACCUUAUGAAUAAGGAUCGGCUAACUCCGUGCCAGCAGCCGCGGUAAUACGGAGGAUCCGAGCGUUAUCCGGAUUUAUUGGGUUUAAAGGGUGCGUAGGCGGCCUUUUAAGUCAGCGGUGAAAGUCUGUGGCUCAACCAUAGAAUUGCCGUUGAAACUGGGAGGCUUGAGUAUGUUUGAGGCAGGCGGAAUGCGUGGUGUAGCGGUGAAAUGCUUAGAUAUCACGCAGAACCCCGAUUGCGAAGGCAGCCUGCCAAGCCAUUACUGACGCUGAUGCACGAAAGCGUGGGGAUCAAACAGGAUUAGAUACCCUGGUAGUCCACGCAGUAAACGAUGAUCACUAGCUGUUUGCGAUACACUGUAAGCGGCACAGCGAAAGCGUUAAGUGAUCCACCUGGGGAGUACGCCGGCAACGGUGAAACUCAAAGGAAUUGACGGGGGCCCGCACAAGCGGAGGAACAUGUGGUUUAAUUCGAUGAUACGCGAGGAACCUUACCCGGGUUUGAACGCAUUUUGACAGCUCUGGAAACAGAGCCUCUAGCAAUAGCGAUUUGCGAGGUGCUGCAUGGUUGUCGUCAGCUCGUGCCGUGAGGUGUCGGCUUAAGUGCCAUAACGAGCGCAACCCUUGCCACUAGUUACUAACAGGUAAAGCUGAGGACUCUGGUGGGACUGCCAGCGUAGGCUGCGAGGAAGGCGGGGAUGACGUCAAAUCAGCACGGCCCUUACAUCCGGGGCGACACACGUGUUACAAUGGCGUGGACAAAGGGAGGCCACCUGGCGACAGGGAGCGAAUCCCCAAACCACGUCUCAGUUCGGAUCGGAGUCUGCAACCCGACUCCGUGAAGCUGGAUUCGCUAGUAAUCGCGCAUCAGCCAUGGCGCGGUGAAUACGUUCUC
rnacentral:rRNA from 1 species